rnacentral:lncRNA from 1 species
AUAACAUCUCUAUGGGAUCAGAGAUAUACAUGAAGAUCUUAAACGGACUUCAUAUAUCUGAAUCAAGUGGCUCCAAACCACAGGAGCAUGCAUUUGCUAAAUGUAUUGAAACGCACAUGGACUCUACUUGAUUUGGAAGGGAUAUGGUGAAUUAUGCCUUUCCGUGUUCAUUCCGGAUUUACAUGGACUCUUGAUGGAUCAAGAGAUGCCAAUAUGUAUCAACAUCCGAAGAAAAAGAUCUUGGGAAGACAUGGUCUCGAUAAGGCACUCGAUGACUGUAUUGAUGAUGAUUUUCCAUCAAUCGGCUUAGGCGCUCUAUAACUAGUGAGGCCUACAUAUACUCCCAUGAUUAGUCAAGGUCUUUGCUCUAAAGAGAGAUCCGUUGUUUUGUCUAAAACAAGAUGACAAAUAUGUGUUAAGAGAUGGAGUUCCCAUCAAAGGACAAUUAGACGCAUCAAUGUACUCAACACAAUACGAAAGACUUGACAUCUCAUUCGCUAUGAAAAGUUGUAAAGCUAAGUGUAGCUAUGCACCCACGCAACGCCAAUGUAAUGGCAGUAACUCCUUUUUCAAUACUUAAUGGUAUGAAAGGUUGAGGCUUAUUCUAUCCCUACAUAAGAAAGACACAUCAAAGCGAAAUCAGAAUCUGCCAAGUUUUGUAGGUCAACUUCCACGGGACCUAUAGAAAAUCUCACUCACUGGAAAAUGGUGAAAUUGGUACCAUUGGAAAGGUCUAUGUGUCGACUUUCCAGGGACACCAACCAUUUGAUCAUACCUAUCAUAUUGAGUGAGUUAUGGCCUUUUUCGUAAAAGUAGGACGAAUCUGUCCGAGAAUCUGAUUUUGGCAAAACAGUCAACUUCGACGGGAUUUUGUGAACAUCUCCUGAUGAACCAGAAUGUGUGUAAUAUACGAUUAGAAAGCUAAAUGAGUUUAGUUUCCAAAACCGUUUACGGUUCGUUCAUAUAUAUUUCCUAGAGGAAGUUACGACUGUUCUAGUAAUUGAAGGUCAUGCUGCGCGGAAAUCUGAUUUCCUGCACGAACUUAUGUUUUGAGUUCACAAGCGACCUUCUCCUCAAGAUCUAAGUGUAAAAGAUCAUUUGAGGACAAUACGGCAUGAUUUAGUUAAUCAUUGCCCAAUGCCACAUUUGAAGACAUGUUAAAGAGUAUUGACAUGCUAAGUUGUUGAAACUUCCGUUAUUAGUGAGAAUCAGGAAGAGCCCUAUGAUUGAUGUAAAGAUCAGGGG